rnacentral:rRNA from 1 species
AGCGUAGGCGGACUUUUAAGUGAGAUGUGAAAUACCCGGGCUCAACUCGGGUGCUGCAUUUCAAACUGGAAGUCUAGAGUGCAGGAGAGGAGAAUGGAAUUCCUAGUGUAGCGGUGAAAUGCGUAGAGAUUAGGAAGAACACCAGUGGCGAAGGCGAUUCUCUGGACUGUAACUGACGCUGAGGCUCGAAAGCGUGGGGAGCAAACA